rnacentral:rRNA from 1 species
GCAAGUCGAGCGCGAAACCUCUUCGGAGUGAGUAGAUCGGCGAACGGGUGAGUCACACGUGAGUUACGUACCCUUAUGUUGGGUAUAACUAUUCGACAGGAUAGCUAAUACCGAAUGUGACUUCGAAGAUGUUGGUCUUUGAAGAGAAAGUGGGCUUUCGGGCUCACGCCUAUGGAUCGGCUCGCGUCCCAUUAGUUAGUAGGUGGGGUAAUGGCCUACCUAGACAGUGAUGGGUAGCUGGUCUGAGAGGAUGAUC